GUUUGAUGUUCUAACUUAGACCCAUUAUCUGGGUUGAGGACAGUGCCUGGUGGGUAGUUUGACUGGGGCGGUCUCCUCCCAAAGAGUAACGGAGGAGCACGAAGGUGGGCUAAUCACGGUUGGACAUCGUGAGGUUAGUGCAAUGGCAUAAGCCCGCUUAACUGCGAGAAUGACGGUUCGAGCAGGUGCGAAAGCAGGUCAUAGUGAUCCGGUGGUUCUGUAUGGAAGGGCCAUCGCUCAACGGAUAAAAGGUACUCCGGGGAUAACAGGCUGAUACCGCCCAAGAGUUCAUAUCGACGGCGGUGUUUGGCACCUCGAUGUCGGCUCAUCACAUCCUGGGGCUGAAGUCGGUCCCAAGGGUAUGGCUGUUCGCCAUUUAAAGUGGUACGCGAGCUGGGUUUAGAACGUCGUGAGACAGUUCGGUCCCUAUCUGCCGUGGGCGUUGGAAGAUUGAAGGGGGCUGCUCCUAGUACGAGAGGACCGGAGUGGACGAACCUCUGGUGUUCGGGUUGUGUCGCCAGACGCAUUGCCCGGUAGCUAAGUUCGGAAUUGAUAAGCGCUGAAAGCAUCUAAGCGCGAAGCGAGCCCUGAGAUGAGUCUUCCCUGAUACUUUAAGUAUCCUAAAGGGUUGUUCGAGACUAGAACGUUGAUAGGCAGGGUGUGUAAGCGUUGUGAGGCGUUGAGCUAACCUGUACUAAUUGCCCGUGAGGCUUAACCAU
rnacentral:rRNA from 1 species